AAGGGUUGAAGGUGCUCUAUUCUGUGGUCUUGUUCAGAAUAUCAGAAUAUUACGGAGGCCGUUAAAAGAAAUCAGGCAUUUUUGUGAGAUUUAAAGGAGAUAACAGAUAGUCCUGAUGGAACAUAUCCAUCAUCAUGAUGGACAAGAGGUAUCUUGUGAUUAUGGUUCUCGUUUCGCUCUUUGCUUGCUGGAUUCUGUCAGCCAAGGUUGAUGCAGCUGACAAAGAUAACCUGGAAGUCGUUGAUGUGAACGAGGUGAAAGAAAAUGACCCGCUUUCUGGACGAGGAAGGCGUUCGAAUACUGGAUGCACUUUUGGGAGAGUUUGGGGUUGUGCUCACUCCUCUAAGAAUUAUAGGCGUGUGAAAAUGCCAAGACGGCGACAUUAAAAAAGAAAAUGCAUAAAGUAUAGCAUUGUGAAGCACUAAAUCAAACACGAAUAGAAAUACAAGCCGAUCUGUGGAACAUUCCUUGUAAACUUGUAAACCUAUGGUUUUUCUUGAUGCAACUGUAAUGUUUCUUUACAGUCUGAGUUAAACUAAAUAAAGACAGAAAAUGA